rnacentral:rRNA from 1 species
UACAGAGGUCUCGAGCGUUAGGCGGAAUCACUGGGCUUAAAGCGUGUGUAGGCGGAUCGGUAAGUCCCUUGUGAAAUCCCACAGCUUAACUGUGGAACUGCUUGGUAUACUGCCAGUCUUGAGCCAGCUAGGGGCUACCGGAACAAAUGGUGGAGCGGUGAAAUGCGUAGAUAUCAUUUGGAACGCCAAUGGUGAAAACAGGUAGCUGGGGAUGUGCCGACGCUGAGACACGAAAGCCAGGGGAGCAAACGGG